AAGAACCCAAGCGGUGCCCUGCUGGAUCAGACCCCUGGCUCCUCUAGUCCAGCAAUCUGUUCCCCCAGUGGCCCACCACUCGCACCAGGAAGCCCACUGGCCUCCCAGCAGAUGGCCUUCAGAGCCAGAUCCACUGCCAUGAAGGACCUUCACACCUGGCAGUGGAUGUGCGGCUGUGAGCUCCAGGGAGAUGGGAGCAAAGUAGGUUUUUUGCGCUGUGGAUAUGACGGGAAGGACUUCCUCACUUUCGACAAGGAGACCCUCACCUGGGUGGCUCCCAACCCCCAGGCCCAGAUCACCCAGAGGAAAUGGGACUCUAUUCCAGGAUUCAAUCAGAGAAGGAAGGCCUACCUGGAGGAGGAAUGCUUUGAGUGGCUGGAGAAGUAUCUGUCCUAUGGGAAGGAGACGCUGCUGAGGACAGAGGCCCCAGUGGUGACGGUGAGCAGCAGGACGGAGGCCGACGAUGGGAUGGAAACUCAUGCCUGCCGCGUGCAUGGCUUCUACCCCAGGGAGAUCGAUGUCUCCUGGAGGAGGGACGGGGAGGUCUGGCCGCAGGACACCUUCCGUGGGUCUGUGACCCCCAAUGCAGAUGGGACCUACCACUACUGGCUCAGCAUCCGGAUCGAUCCCAAAGAGAGGGACCGCUAUCGGUGCCAUGUGGAGCAUGACGGCCUGCAGGAGCCUGUGGAAGUGGCCAUGAAGGUUCCAGAAUCCAACCUGGGGCACAUCAUCGGCUGCCUUGUGGCUAUUGUGGCUACUGUUGUCCUGAUUAUUGUUGUGAUUGCUGUGAUCUUGGUGUAUCACAAGAAACGUCAAGAAGGCUACAAGGCAGCAUCAACAAGUGACAAAAGAUCUGAUAGUAGCCUUGAUUAUUCUGCAUUUGUGUCCUGCAUUUUGAUUCCACAGUAGGAGCACCUCCUGGAUGAGGAAGAGCAAUUCUGCCUCUUAGCAAGAGUGCUGGAGGUUGGGGGGGUGAAAAGAGGGAGAGCCCCCACCCCCGUUUUUAAAGGGCCCCCUAAUGCACACUCCAUGUGUUCCCUCUGCAUCUGGCUCUGGUGAAACCAGUAUUUAUUGGGACAGAACUGGAACAAAGGAUACAUACUUCUAUUGAGAUUUAAAUUGAUAUUGUUGCCUUUUCUAUGGACGCUUUUUUACACAGUGUAAUAUCUUCAAGGUGGAUGAGAGAAUUAUGUUUUUUCUCCUGUUUACUUAGAUGGCAAGUUGUUCUUGAACAAUUAAAAUUACUUUGCAUCAGUAUAUGAACAGAAAGUAUCAGACUGGAAAAGUGGUUUCUCAUUAAAGGGGGGCUUAAGUGAAAUUACUUAUUUUUUCUCUUGUCCAAGGAGUUACCAGUCUCUUUUUUCUUUCAGUUUUAAUAAUGUUUCUCUUUUUUCCCUUGUUCCUGCUUUUACUCUGUACGGAAUUAAGCGCUUCACUUUUCUCCCACCUCCUCUCUUUUCCUAGAUUUCUAACAGUUACAAAAUUCACUUUUCUCCCACUUCUUUGUUCCUGCAGAAGAGAAAGGGAAAUUCUCUCCCUGUUGGACUUCCAGCCUCAUUCAUUCAGGCAGGGAAGGCAGCUCCAGAGCCUGCAUGGUGGAGCCUGGCCCCCUUUGGAGGAAAGAGCCCCUCGGCUCUGGGGUGGGAAAUAGAGAAACCACCCAAAAUGUCAUGAGCCCCGGUUGUUAGCGAAUGUUCUGGUUGCACAGCCUGGUCCCCUCUGAGAGGUUCAUGGAGCGGAAGAGAGAGAUUCCUCUUCCUCAGAGGAUCUGGACUAGGGAGAGACUCACUCUUUGUCUUUCUUCCCAAUGUAGGGAGCGUCAAGGUCAUUUAGCAGCCCCCUUGCAGAUGCAACUUUGGGGCUACAGACUCCCCAUGUCGGGAGAGAGAAAAGAAGAGUGAUCAACCUUCUGCUGAAUUAUGCUGUUGUCUUAAGAGGACCUCUUCAGGCCCUUCCAGCUGGCUGUAACUAGGAUGUAUUUCUGGUCCUUCGAGUGCCCUUGUUCAGAUUUUUGUUUGGGAAAAUCAGGGUUUUUUCAUCUGAAGGAGGAAUUCUAGGACCUCCCCUGAAAAGGAAACGUGGUUGAUUCAUCUGGAGAAUGAAAGAAGGUUUUAUUUUUAUAUGUGAAGUAAAUGUCUUGCAAGAAAAUCCACCUUGGAAGGGGCAUUCUGUUCAUUGAUCGGAAGGGAAAAUGCCUCUUUCAGCUGCUGUUUCUGAAGUGUGCUUUGAGAUUUCUUCCAUAAAAAAUAAUUAAUUUAAAAAAAAUUAAUCUGUAGCCCAAUUAGUUGGAUUAUAUAUUUGAUUAUGCAAAAGUUUAACAAAUAACCAAUAUGCCAGCUGAGGGCAGCCUUCAGACACAGAAAAUGGUACACCUUUUCUAGACUUCAGGUAAUGGAUUUAGAAAAAUGGAAGAUGAGAUCAGCUGUCCAGCCAGGCUGCUCCCUUCCUAAGUGCUGCAGUUUCCU